GUCCACGCCGUAAACGAUGGGUACUAGGUUUGGUGGGUCUUGACCCCUGCCGAGCCGGCGCUAACGCAAUAAGUACCCCGCCUGGGGAGUACGGUCGCAAGACUAAAACUCAAAGGAAUUGACGGGGGCCCGCACAAGCGGUGGAUCAUGUGGUUUAAUUCGAAGCAACGCGCAAGACCUUACCUAGGCUUGACAUCCCCGGACAGCUUUAGAAAUAAAGUCUUUGUAGUAAUACAACCGGGU
rnacentral:rRNA from 1 species